rnacentral:rRNA from 1 species
UACAGAGGCCUCUAGCGUUAGGCGGAAUCAUUGGGCUUAAAGCGCGUGUAGGCGGUUCGUUAAGUGUCUUGUGAAAUCCCACGGCUCAACCGUGGAACUGCUGGGCAUACUGGCGAUCUUGGGCCACUCAGGGGCGACCGGAACAAGCGGUGGAGCGGUGAAAUGCGUAGAUAUCGCUUGGAACGCCAAAGGUGAAGACAGGUCGCUGGGGGUGUGCCGACGCUGAGACGCGAAAGCCAGGGGAGCAAACGGG